AGAAUCAACGCUGGCGGCGUGCCUCAGACAUGCAAGUCGAACGCGAAAGUCCCCUUCGGGGGACAAGUAGAGUGGCGCACGGGUGAGUAACACGUAGGUAAUCUACCUUUGGAUGGGGAAUAACAACCGGAAACGGUUGCUAAUACCGCAUGAUGCAGCGGCACCUAAUGGUGACAGUUGUUAAAGCGGGGGAUCGGAAGACCUCGCGUCUGAAGAGGAGCCUGCGGCGGGUUAGCGUAGUUGGUAAGGUAUGGCUUACCAAGCUACGAUCC
rnacentral:rRNA from 1 species